UAAAACCCUAAACAGCACCUCCAGCCUCCCCCGUGCUUCGCCGCCGGGCUCCCCCUCGCUCGCCAGCUCUCCGCGCGAGGCCGACAGCCUGCCGCGCCACCGCUCGCCGCUCAUCGCGACCGGAACUCCGCGUGUGCGCUUCGCCGUCGGCACGCGGUCGCUGGUCCGCUCGCCGCCCCUGCCGCCGCGUCGGGGAUGGUCACGCUGGUCCUCCGCGCCCAGCCACGACCACCCGCCGCCUCUGCAGCCACCUGAACCGGACUCUGCGCACCUGAACCGGACUCUGCGCUGCCGCAGGAGGCCGCCGCUGCCGGAUCGGGAAGGUAUGUGCGCUUGCUUCCGCCCCCGCUCUCCCGUUCAUUCCCUCAGGCCCGCUUAGGUCCCGCAUGGAGAUCAUUGUUGAAACGAUGACUUUUGCAGUUAAUUCAAUUUUGAGUUUAAAUGAUUGCUAGCUACCGAUUCUUUGUCAUCCCUGCUUCCACCAUGGAUGCUUGUACAAAAUAAAUUGUAAUGCACUUCUCAGUUUCUUGUUAAUUUGGAUACUGUAGGUGUUAGUUGGGAAUUUUUUCUCUGGUUGCAAACAAUUACAGAGAACCGGUUGCAAUUGAGCCCCAUGACUAACUGAAUGUGCUUUGCAGGCACAUCUCAGACGAGAGACGAAGUGGACUUGAUUUUUUGGUUUCAGGGGUUAGCAUCCGUGACGGCGGCACCUGAUCAAUGGCUCCACCAUAAUUCUUUGAAUUAAAUCUACUGCAUACAUGACAUUUCUAGAAACUGCAGGAAUUACAGCACCGGACUGAUAACCAAUGAACACUGUGCUGCUAAUCAAGUUGCCUGGUGCUUCUGCCAUACCCUGGGUAGAUGUGGUGGCCAGCUUUCUUCUCAGUCAUGCCUCUGUCACAGACCAGGCCCAUCCAGAUUUUAAUCUCAGCUGCUCCAGCCUCCAUGGUAGGGCUCCACAGUUCCUUUAUUUAUUUUACAGAAGGGAUGCAAUUGUACCACCCAUCAUAUUAGAUGAUCAAAUGCUAAUAAUUAGUUUUAUUCCUGUACUUUCCAGUCUAAGAUUUGAAUGGAUUUUGUGAGUCAAUUUGGACUGAACCAUACCCGAUCUGCAACACAGGCUGACUUGCAAGUGAAGUGCGGUGAAUCUUUUUUUCCCUAUUUUAUAUUUGUGAUGAUUAGUUCUUUGUAAUUCCUAUGCACCAAGUUGUGCUUUUGUGACUCGGAUGAAUUCUGUGUAGCUGCGUAUGCAUAAAAAAAAGAUUUAGUAUAUGUGUUGGUUCUUAAGGGCUGCCAUGAUAAUUGAAAGAAUCCUUCUUAUUUGUGCAAACUAAUUUAAAUUAGGUAUUAUUUAAAUUUUUUGAGAUGGUAUGUGCAAAUUUAAUUCAGUUACUGGUUUAUAUUGCCGGGUAGGAUUUAAGUCUAGAUCAUGAUCUGGCAAUGUAGGCUUGAAGUUGUAAAACAUAGAGAAAUCAGUUUCGCAGAUUUGAAGUCAAGUGCUCAAGGUCAGGGCUGAUGGGGUAGUGCUAUGGUCAGGGAUGAUAACUGAUUCAUUUCUUUAGUUCUCAGUAUCUAAAAAUCAAUUGAUCUUGUAUAUAUAAAUUAUUUUGCAUUCUAUCAAAAUGCAGAGGUUGCUCGCAGAUUUUGGAAACGAACCACCAAAAGAUGAUUGGAAGCUCAACAGACAUCAAGAGAGGAUGCGAUGAAGAUCCCACCUUCGACAUGGACGUUGAUGGAAACUUGGAGUUGGAGAUCGUGGGCCAGGAUGAGCCAGAUGCCCGUCUCGACCUCAACAUGCAAGGGCAGGUUCCACUUCUUCCUAUCUAUAAUUGGGUGAGUCGAUCCAAUUUUUGCGAUCAUAGAGGAUAAGAGAAGGGACUUUGGUCUGUGAUUUUUGCAGGUUCAUGUGAGAGGAAUUUCUCAAUUUCAUGAAAGAUGGGAAAGGAGGCCGACCUUCUGGCCAUGGUGGACAGGCUCAUCCAGGGUAAGUUUUCAUAUUUGUAUUUCUUUCUAAAAUUGUGUCUUCAUGAUUUUCUAUAGCUCAUGAUUCCUUUUUUAUUAGCAUACCGUGAUUCUAUUUCAAUACUACUUUACACUGUAAUGCAAAGACGGUGGCACAUCGCCAUCCAUCAUGUGGCUCCUGUGACUCUGCUAUCUAUGUUCUGGUAUGGUUUCCCAUGAGUCUGAGCAGAUUAUUCCCUAGAUAUCACCAUCUAAUUGAUCCAGACAUCAAGUGAGCAGUUUCAUUCAGUAGAUUUUCUUGCAUUUUGGUUAUUUACUAUUACUAUUUCAAGAUUUUAGUAACAACUUUAUUUUGUUGUUAUAUUGCAUGAAAGACUCCAGUUUUGCUUCGGUGUUUUAGCUUAAUAUAGGGGAAUAUAAUCUUUGUCUUGCUGAAGCUGUAACAAUAUUUGAUUUUUUUUCAAAGCCUCUAUGCAUAUUUUGGGCUGCCCCUAAGUUUUGCAUCCGAAUAUCUAUGCAGGUGCAUCUCACGGUUGCAAAUUUAAGCAAAUUUGAUAUGUGUUGAUGCCAGGGCCACAGUUGCGACUAUGUCAUGUAACAAGUGCAGCUGGGAUUUGCUCAAAUUGAUGUGUCAAACGCUCUUCAUGACCAAGAACAGUAUGAGAAAGAUGGAAUGAGAAGAAUUACUCAAAGUGGACCUUACUUUGAGACCUUGAGCAGUAGUAAUAAAGAGCAGUUUAGAAUAGCCAGAUGAGAUGUUUCCUCGGCUGACCCCAUCAUGCAUAAUUAAGCUGUCAUUCUAAAAGGCAUUACUUUCUGGUCAUAUCUUUGAAUAGGUUUUUAGUCACAAAUAUAUGCUGCUAUCACCCUAUGUGUAAAUUGGGAAAUUUAGUUGUGAAUGCACACUUCAGCAAAUACUGAAUGGACCCACUAUGUUAAGUUGCUUUUCUAUAUAUCUGCCAUGGUCCGUAGUUGUACUUGUGAGCAAUAGUGAUUCCCUGCUGACUAACAGUCUAUAGAAACUGGUAUUUUGAUAUAUCUCAUCCAGAGAUUAGAAUCU
rnacentral:lncRNA from 1 species